rnacentral:lncRNA from 1 species
GCAGUUUUAUCUAUAUAUGUCGUAAUUAAACCAUUUAGUUUUGUAUUAUAGAUUUUUUUAUUCAUUUUAAAAUCAGACGAAAAAAAAACCAAAAUAUUCAAGAAAUUUCAAACAAAAACAAUUACUCAUUAUGUGCCUCAUCAACUCCAAACAUAAAUCCCUACCAAUGUACAAACGAUUGUGUAUUAUUUUACCUAUAAAUGCCCUUUACUUUAAACAAUCAUCAUUCAACAAUUGUCCGGCAAAAAACUAGACCAAUACCUUCUAUUCCUGAUUUUUCUUAUACCAUUUUCCUUAAUUUUCUUUUACCAUUUUCCUCUGUUCUUUAUUUUGCCCGUUAUACUCUUAGACUAUUCUAAUUUUGUAUUUUUUUUCUUUAUUUUCCUGUAUUUAUACCUCCUUAAUUCGGAGCAACCCACCCUAAAUAUACAUAUGAUACACACGGUCUAUAGGUCUAUAGGUCAAAAAGAAGCAUUCAAUACUUAUAAAUACAUUUUUUUAGCUAGGAUUAU